AGUAGCGAGUUGACAUGGUGCCCGUACCCCAAACCAACACAGGUGGACAGGUAGAGCAUACCAAGGCGAGUGGGAUAACUAUGGUUAAGGAACUCGGCAAAUUUCCUCCGUAACUUCGGGAUAAGGAGGACCCCGGUAGCGUGACGAGACUUGCUCUCCGAGCGUGAAGGGGUGGCACAAAAUUGAGGGAAGCGACUGUUUACCAAAAACACAGCAGCGUGCUAAGCCGUAAGGCGCUGUAUACGCUGUGACUCCUGCCCGGUGCUGGAAGGUUACGGGGAUGGGUUAGUCCUUCGGGACAAAGCUCUGAACCUAAGCCCCAGUAAACGGCGGCCGUAACUAUAACGGUCCUAAGGUAGCGAAAUUCCUUGUCGGGUAAGUUCCGUCCUGCACGAAUGGAGUAACGACUUCCCUACUGUCUCAACCAUAGACCCAGCGAAAUUGAAGUACGAGUAAAGAUGCUCGUUAGCUGCAGAAGGACGGAAAGACCCCGUGGACCUUUACUAUAACUUGAUGUUGUGUUUUGUCAUAUGUUGUGUAGGAUAGGUGGGAGACAAGGAAGCAUGGACGCUAGUCUGUGUGGAGUCAUCGUUGAAAUACCACCCUGCAUAUGGUGAGGCUCUAACCUAGACCCGUUAUCCGGGUUGGGGACAGCGUCAGGCGGGUAGUUUAACUGGGGCGGUUGCCUCCUAAAGAGUAACGGAGGCGCCCAAAGGUUCCCUCAGCCUGGUUGGCAAUCAGGCGUCGAGUGCAAUGGCAAAAGGGAGCUUGACUGCGAGACCUACAAGUCGAGCAGGAGCGAAAGCUGGGCAUAGUGAUCCGGCGGUUGCGUGUGGAAGCGCCGUCGCUCAACGGAUAAAAGGUACCCCGUGGAUAACAGGCUAAUCUUGCCCAAGCGUCCAUAGCGACGGCAAGGUUUGGCACCUCGAUGUCGGCUCAUCGCAUCCUGGGGCUGAAGCAGGUCCCAAGGGUUGGGCUGUUCGCCCAUUAAAGCGGUACGCGAGCUGGGUUCAGAACGUCGUGAGACAGUUCGGUCCCUAUCCUCUGUAGCCGUAGGUGAAUUGAGGAAAGCUGUCCCUAGUACGAGAGGACCGGGACGGACGCAGCUCUCGUGUGCCAGUUGUCCUGCCAAGGGCAUGGCUGGUUAGCGACCUGCGGAAAGGACAACCGCUGAAAGCAUCUAAGCGGGAAGCCUCUUCCAAGAUGAAUUCACCCACAGGGUUAACCUGGUAAGGCCCGUGGUAGACCACCACGUUGAUAGGCCGGAACUGUAAGCGUGGCAACACGUUCAGCUGACCGGUACUAAUCGGC
rnacentral:rRNA from 1 species